rnacentral:lncRNA from 1 species
UUCUAAAAAACCAAAACCACAUAGCACUAUACAUUCCAUCAUAAAUAUUUUAUCAGCAAAUAUUUAUGGGCAUCCACUAUAUGCCAGGUUUGUAAUAUGAAGAUUUUUAAAGGAGAGAUAGAAGUUGCUAUGGGGAUCGUAAUAAAGAGUCUAACCAAAUCUCUCUCUUUUUAAUAAAUAUGGCAAGGAGUGGAGGCAAGUUAUUGGAAAAAGCUGGAAGAAGAAGCCCUCAGGGAAUUAACAGUAAAAUGCCAGGAUGGGCCAUUUCAGUUGAGAAAAGUUUUGAAGAGUACCGGGCAGAUAUUGUGGAGGACAUCCCUUAGUAUGGUUAUAGAUGAUGUUUUCCUCAGAUUAGACUGGAGCGAUCUGUUCUUGGGAUGAAGACCACAGAGGCAACAGAAACAAUCUUUGUCCAACCAGCAAAAGAGGGAUUUGGAGAAAGAAAAUGAAGCAGCUUAUGGAACAGAAGGUCAGGAGAGUCCCAAGAAGAAGGAUCAUAUCUGGUUUCCUCUUCUGCCUCUCCCCAUGGUGUCUAGGAGAGUGCACACUC